rnacentral:rRNA from 1 species
UACAGAGGGUGCGAGCGUUAAUCGGAAUUACUGGGCGUAAAGCGCGCGUAGGCGGCUUUUCAAGUCGAUUGUGAAAUCCCCGGGCUUAACCUGGGAACUGCAGUCGAGACUGUCUAGCUAGAGUAUGGGAGAGGGAAGUGGAAUUUCAGGUGUAGCGGUGAAAUGCGUAGAUAUCUGAAGGAGCAUCAGUGGCGAAAGCGACUUCCUGGACCAAUACUGACGCUCAUGUGCGAAAGCGUGGGGAGCAAACAGG